rnacentral:lncRNA from 1 species
ACAAAGGAUGAAAACCAGAGGUAUGAAGAGGCUUUGCAUUUCAGACAGUCCAUCAUGGUAGAAAAAGAACCUUCGUUGAGGGAGAAAUAUUUGCCUCAGAAACAGGGAUGAGUAAACAGAUAGAUUACUCUAGAAGCCCAUCCAUGGGGAGUCUCAGACUACUCCCACCCUGGGCAAGGGGUUGGGAGCUGUGAUCAGCACAGGCUGCUUGGCCAGGAGGAAUGACUGCAGGGUGGGCAGA